rnacentral:rRNA from 1 species
GACGAACGCUGGCGGCGUGCUUAACACAUGCAAGUCGAGCGGAAAGGCCCUUCGGGGUACUCGAGCGGCGAACGGGUGAGUAACACGUGAGUAAUCUGCCCUUGGCUUUGGGAUAACUACCGGAAACGGUGGCUAAUACCGGAUACGACAACCGUCUGCAUGGGCUGGCUGUGGAAAGUUUUUUCGGCCAGGGAUGUGCUCGCGGCCUAUCAGCUUGUUGGUGGGGUAAUGGCCUACCAAGGCUUCGACGGGUAGCCGGCCUGAGAGGGUGACCGGCCACACUGGGACUGAGACACGGCCCAGACUCCUACGGGAGGCAGCAGUGGGGAAUAUUGGACAAUGGGCGGAAGCCUGAUCCAGCAACGCCGCGUGAGGGAUGACGGCCUUCGGGUUGUAAACCUCUUUCAGUACCGACGAAGCGCCGAUGAUGGUGGUGACGGUAGGUACAGAAGAAGCACCGGCCAACUACGUG